CCUACGGGAGGCAGCAGUGAGGAAUAUUGGUCAAUGGACGAGAGUCUGAACCAGCCAAGUAGCGUGAAGGAUGACUGCCCUAUGGGUUGGAACUUUUUUUUAUAUGGGAAUAAAACGUUCCAUGACUGGGAUUUUGUACGUACCUGACGAAUAAGCAUCGGCUAACGCCGUGCCAGCAGCAGCGGUAAUACGGAGGAUUCGAGCGUUAUCCGGGUUUAUUGGGUUUAAGGGUAGCGUAGGUGGAUUGCCAAGUCAGUUUUGAAAGUUUGCGGCUCAACCGUAAAAUUGCAGUUGAAACUGGCAGUCUUGAGUACAGUAGAGGUGGUCGGAAUUCGUGGUGUAGCGGUGAAAUGCUUAGAUAUCACGAGGAACACCGAUUGCGAAGGCAGUUCACUGGACUGCAACUGACACUGAGGCGCGAAAGUGUGGGUAGCAAACAGGAUUAGAUACCCGUGUAGUC
rnacentral:rRNA from 1 species